rnacentral:misc_RNA from 1 species
AUACCUCCGCAGUAUGUUUAGCUAACGUGAGGACCCGCAAUAAAUUUUAAGAUUUAGUCAAGCAAAGUUCUUUAUUUAGAAAAACAGUCCUUGUCGCAAUUAAGGGAAGAUAGGAGAAGCCUAUCUCCCACGAACGAUGCCCCGUCAACAACCCCCCCCCUUAAGGGCGGCCAGCAUCUCUUUCAAAACGCCGAUAUGGAGAUCGACCAAUUAGCAACAGCGCUAAUUUCCCUCACUUUUGGAACGAAAACCUUCUUUGACGAAUCCGAGGAUCUCAUAUCCUUAGACCCACCCCAUAUAUUUUUCCUCGACGACAUCGUCGAGACGGAGAGUCAUUCCUUCGUGUGAACUCAUUGACGAGUGACAGUACUAUCUUACAACCAGUGAAUACCUCACGUCUAGUUAACAAAGAGUUAGACUUGAACUGUGCGAUAACAUACGUUUAUCAUCCCGUGACCGCGG